AGGUCAUUUCAAGAAGGGAUUGUAGAGCUGGGAAACCAAGAGCUCUUAAGGCUAUGACCAAAGAUUGAAGAUACCACAGUACCUCAAUAGUGCUAUGUUUUCCUCUGGAGAUAUAAGA
rnacentral:snoRNA from 1 species